rnacentral:rRNA from 1 species
UACAGAGGUCUCAAGCGUUGUUCGGAUUUACUGGGCGUAAAGGGCGCGUAGGCGGCGCGGUAAGUCACUUGUGAAAUCUCUGAGCUUAACUCAGAACGGCCAAGUGAUACUGCAGUGCUAGAGUGUGGAAGGGGCAAUCGGAAUUCUUGGUGUAGCGGUGAAAUGCGUAGAUAUCAAGAGGAACACCUGAGGUGAAGACGGGUUGCUGGGCCAACACUGACGCUGAGGCGCGAAAGCCAGGGGAGCAAACGGG